rnacentral:rRNA from 1 species
UGCAUAUCAAUAAGGGAGGAAAAGAAACUAACAAGGAUUCCCCUAGUAACGGCGAGUGUAAGCGGGAAGAGCUCAAAUUUAAAAUCUAGUUUGCUUGCAAACUCGAGUUGUAGUCUGAAGAAACGUUUUCCAUGAAAGCUGAGGCACAAGUCCUUUGGAACAGGGCAUCAUAGAGGGUGAGAAUCCCGUCCAUGGUCUCAAGUCUUUCAUUUUGUGAUACGUUUUCUAAGAGUCAGGUUGUUUGGGAAUGCAGCCUAAAAUGGGUGGUAAAUUUCAUCUAAAGCUAAAUAUUGGCGAGAGACCGAUAGCGAACAAGUACCGUGAGGGAAAGAUGAAAAGAACUUUGAAAAGAGAGUUAAAAAGUACGUGAAAUUGUUGAAAGGGAACCGUUUGAAGCCAGUCUUGUUUUUUUGUGAUCAGUCUCAGCUUUGGCUGGGAUGCACUCUCAAUUUUACAGGUCAACGUCAGUUUGAGAAGUGGGAAAAAAGUUUGAGGAAUGUGGCCUUCGGGUGUUAUAGCCUCUUACUAAAUACCAUUUCCUGGACUGAGGCUCGCAGCAAAAAUCUUGGCAGACAUGCUUCUGAGGUGAACCAUUAUUAAGACAGCUUGCUGACUUAGUUUUGUCUAACUUCACAGUAAGUUUCGCUUCUAAUUUGCUUAGGUCGUUGACAUAAUGGCUUUAAAUGACCCGUCUUGAAACACGGACCA